AGCUUCCAGUAUGGCCUUUUAGAACUCUCUGAGAGCCCUGAGAUGUCAAGUAAGAAGUUUAUCUGAUACUUCUUGUUGGAGAAGCCAAAUGGAGGUACUCUGAUUGGCAGUCACAGCUGAGUCUACUAGACAAGCCUUCCAAUCAUUCCCUGCAUCCAAGGUACCAGACAUGUAAAUGAAGAAAUACACCUCUUCUCAGACAUCCUUCACAUCAUCGCAAGCAUCCCUCUUUCAUUGACAAAACGGCAUUUACUCUGAAAAACAGAAAUGGAGUCAGUCUUUGAAAAUGUUUUCUACCUUAUGAUACUAAGCCUGAAAGCAAAGUGCGCCAUGGCUUCCAAGAUAUUCAAGCCCUCUUUUGUCUUGCCAAAGACUGCACUCUUGCCACCCAACCACACAGUUUUGGCAGUGCAGAUGAAAAACUGGAAACCAUUUGUGUAGCGUCCAGUAUUUGCCAUGGACAAGGUGCCAGGUCUUGUAUGCUUCAGGAUGGAGUUAUCAUCAUCAGACUUCUCCCAGUAGUUGGACUUGUGCCAGUGUCAUCAUGACAUGUGAAGUCACCACUCUGGCAUAUAAACCCUGGAAUAAUUCUGUGAAAACAGGAACACUUAUAGCCAAAUCCUUUCUCUCCAGUGCUCACAAAAUGAACAUUUUCUGUUGUCUUUGGAACUUUGCAAACAGCUGGAAGGAGACAUGGCCCAAGUGCUCACCGUUGACUACAAAGUUAAAGAACAAGGUGGCAGUGGUGACAUCAGUGGAAGUGGCAUCUGCAAAGUGCCAACAAAUAUUUUAAACAAACAAACCAAUAAAUUAAUAUUUCUUAAACCAGUAAAGAAUGAAAACUUUCCAGCCACUCAUCAGGCAUUUGUUCAUAACUGCUUGGUGUCAUUCAUGGUGAGAGAUUUUGCUGACACAAUGAUAGCUAUGAACAAUCCCUGCUUCCAGAAGCCUAUGGUGCAGCAGGAGAGGUUUGUACCCACAUUCAUGGCAUAGUGAUGGAGAGUGUUGGUGCCAGAACAGAGAUACACUGAGGCCUUUCUGAAGGGACCCAGAAUGGAGCAUCUUCGACUUCAUGUGUGUUCAAGAAGGUCUUCAUAAAGGAAGUGACAAACAUAUUCAGGUAUCUGAAAGUUGAACACACACUGAGGCUUACACUGGACAGAAGACAGAAGGGUAGUGUCGUCCCUGACCCUGAGGCCUUAAAUCCCUAUUGGGAAGUGAACACACUGACAGAUUUUCACAUACAAAAAAGAAAUAAACAAACCCACUUAAAACUAUGAGUGGUUGAUUUAUGUGACCACUCCUAUGGAUGCUUGCAUACAAACAGGACACACAGAAGGAUAAUCUGAAAUAGAAAUAUAUUAGACAUAAGGAUUAACUGCAUGAUAUUUACUAGUAAAAAGCUAAAACACUAAUUUAAAUUUAAACUGUUAACUCUGAAAAAUAAUGGAGGGGAGAGCCAAUUGGAGAGAAGGCAAUGAGCAAAGAAAUCCAAGAGCCUCGGGAUUAGAUAAAAUUAAAAAAAUGUCUGACUGGAGAAUGACAUACUUUUAUAAUCUCUUCA